UUGGGUUUUAAAUGUGCAGCUGCUCAAAUGCUUUCUUCACAGUGGAAAAGUUUUAUAUUCUUUGCUCAAGUUUCAUAGCGAGUGGUAAUAAAGGAACGAGAGAAAUCAAUGAGUAAGGCAACAACUGGAUGAUCAAUGUUAUUACACUUGCCAGAGCACCUUAGAUAGAAAUCAAGCUGGAGUGAGGGGAAAUUUGGUUCCCUUUACAUCACUCAGCCGACAACAUAAUAGAAUGAGCAGAGAUGACUGGGAAGAGUACAAAUUGCCAGACGGAGAACUGGAGAAAGUUGAGAAUGGGG